rnacentral:rRNA from 1 species
AUGGCUCAGAGUGAACGCUGGCGGCAGGCCUAAUACAUGCAAGUCGAACGGCAGCACAGCAGAGCUUGCUCUGUGGGUGGCGAGUGGCGGACGGGUGAGGAAUACAUGGGAAUCUGCCCAGUCGUGGGGGAUAACGUAGGGAAACUUACGCUAAUACCGCAUGCGCCCUUCGGGGGAAAGCCGGGGACCUUCGGGCCUGGCGCGAUUGGAUGAGCCCAUGUCGGAUUAGCUAGUUGGCGGGGUAAUGGCCCACCAAGGCGACGAUCCGUAGCUGGUCUGAGAGGAUGAUCAGCCACACUGGAACUGAGACACGGUCCAGACUCCUACGGGAGGCAGCAGUAGGGAAUAUUGGACAAUGGGCGCAAGCCUGAUCCAGCCAUGCCGCGUGAGUGAAGAAGGCCCUCGGGUUGUAAAGCUCUUUUGUCCGGAAAGAAAGCGCCGGGUUAAUACCCUAGUGUCCUGACGGUACCGGAAGAAUAAGCACCGGCUAACUUCGUG